AAUUACAGUAAAGAACUAAAUGGAAUACCAAUUUGGGUAAACUGAAGAUCGUGGAUUUAGUUCUUCUCCAAAAGGAUCACGUACCUUCACUAAGCUGCAUGGUGACUUGGUCGAGUUAAAAGAUUGUUUCCAGGUCCAGAUAAUAUCUCACGCGUUGCUGAUGUCAAUACGAUAAGAGGAUGUGUACGACAUCCAUUGGUUCGUCUUUGCCCUAUUCUAGCGGACGAGGAACUCCAUGGUCGAAAGAUACCUUUCAACGAGGCGCAAGGAUGUUUCGAAUUAUAGAGCCGGCGAGUAUUUUGUUGCCUCGGUUGCUUCAAUUCGUGUCGUUGAAGACAAUAAACUAUGAAAUAAGAUAUUAUUUUUAACGCUACACAGGCCGACGACGGGCAGGCGUUUUCGGUGCGACAAAGUCAGCCCUGCGGUCACCAACCCACCUGCCCAGCGUGGUGACUAUGGGCAAAACACAUG
rnacentral:misc_RNA from 1 species